ACGGGAGGCAGCAGUGAGGAAUAUUGGUCAAUGGGCGGAAGCCUGAACCAGCCAAGUCGCGUGAAGGAUGAAGGUAUUAUGUAUUGUAAACUUCUUUAGACGUAGAGAAAUAAGCAGGUCGUGACCUGUGAUGCUAGUAUGCGUAGAAUAAGGAUCGGCUAACUCCGUGCCAGCAGCCGCGGUAAUACGGAGGAUCCGAGCGUUAUCCGGAUUUAUUGGGUUUAAAGGGUGCGCAGGCGGUUUGUUAAGUCAGCGGUUAAAUAGUGGAGCUCAACUCCAUCCCGCCGUUGAUACUGUCAGACUUGAUUGCGGUUGAGGUUGGCGGAAUUCGUCGUGUAGCGGUGAAAUGCAUAGAUAUGACGAAGAACACCGAUUGCGUAGGCAGCAGACCAGGCCGUAAAUGACGCUCAUGCACGAAAGUGCGGGGAUCGAACAGGAUUAGAUACCCUGGUA
rnacentral:rRNA from 1 species